GUGCUCCCUUUGGUAGCACGUAUACUAAAACGGGAAUGAUACAAGAUUAGCGUGGCCCCUGUGCAAGGAUCACACACGAAUUCGUGAAGUGUUCCGAAUUAAA